AUCUAGGUGACGAGUUCUAGAUAGGAUGAAAUACGCAUCCUAGAU
rnacentral:hammerhead_ribozyme from 1 species